rnacentral:rRNA from 1 species
UACAGAGGUCCCAAGCGUUGUUCGGAUUCACUGGGCGUAAAGGGUGCGUAGGCGGUUGGAUAAGUGUGGUGUGAAAUCUCCCGGCUUAACUGGGAGGGUGCGCUACAAACUGUCUGACUAGAGUGUGGGAUGGGUAAGUGGAAUUCCUGGUGUAGCGGUGAAAUGCGUAGAUAUCAGGAGGAACACCGGUGGUGUAGACGGCUUACUGGACCAUAACUGACGCUGAGACACGAAAGCGUGGGUAGCAAACAGG